rnacentral:ncRNA from 2 species
AGGAUAGGUAGAGGUUGCAAUAUCUAUUAGUAGUAUUGUAGAGGUGAGUACGAUGAAACAAUAUGAAAGGAGAUAUUGCCGAAGCAUAUAGCCUAAACUCAAGGGCUAUAUGACUGGUUAUACGUAGAAUAUGCGUAUAACUGUCACAAAUUUAUAUUUGUGGAGAGCUAUCAUUCAA